rnacentral:tRNA from 1 species
GGGGUUGUAGCUCUGUGGUAGAGCACUUGCCUACAUGCAUGAGGUACUGGGUUCAAUCCUCAGUACCACA